rnacentral:misc_RNA from 1 species
CAUAAUUGAUAUAUUGCAGGAAUACAAUACGAGAAAGAAAGUCGAGCAUGCAUGCAAGUCCUUGAAGUUUGACCCUCUGUCUUUUUCCGCUGUCGAACCCAAAUUGUAUGCAGAUCGUUUCCUCAAGUUCUUACAGAAAGUUUUCCCUGGGCAACCAUAAAAAGAUUUUGGCUUUAUAUGCUUCAUCCUACUUGCCACUGUUGUAUAGUAAGAGUUUCCCCCUUCAUUUUUUUUAGCCUUUUCUUGUCUUAAAAGUGAAAAUUCUAUAAUUACUCUAUUUUGGUGGUUGCUUCAAUACAAAAUUCUUUGACAAUGAUUUGUUUGUAAAUGAUAUCACCGCCAAAUAAAUGUAUCCAUCUUUCCAUUUGUAUAGUAAAAAAAUGAAGGGGGAAACUCUUAC